UUGUCCUACGGGGCGCAGCAGUGGGGAAUAUUGCACAAUGGGCGAAAGCCUGAUGCAGCAACGCCGCGUGAAGGAAGAAGGUCUUCGGAUCGUAAACUUCUGUCCUUGGGGAAGAUAAUGACGGUACCCUUGGAGGAAGCCCAGGCUAACUACGUGCCAGCAGCCGCGGUAAUACGUAGGGGGCAAGCGUUAUCCGGAAGUAUUGGGCGUAAAGAGUGCGUAGGGGGUGACUUAAGAGCG
rnacentral:rRNA from 1 species